rnacentral:sRNA from 1 species
GGGAGCCGCGCGCCUUUGUGCGCGCCGAGGUUUGCAAAUAACCACCUGUACAGAAGGGAGAAGAAAGAAACAGGAAAAACAAUGUAAAUUUCCACUUUAUUUGGAAGAAUGGGCUGACAAAAAAGUUUCAUGGACUAUAUUUUUGAAUUCAGGAGUCAUUUGGGAUUGACUUUUGUCUUUAAAUGAAAUCUUUAAGCUUUAAAAAUAUUUUAAAGGUAACAUUGUGUUCUGAGAUUCAUAAGAAAUAUGUGAUGGAAAGGAAUUCUUGUUUGUGGAACAAAGAAUAGCAGUGAUUGUACAACCGGGUGCAUGCUGGCUUCUUAAAGACCUUGCACUGAGAAAGUAAAAUAAGGGUUUUUCUGAGAGUCGUGAGUUGUGUUGAGUGUGUAUGUUCUUUUAAAAUAAAAUCGUUCUUUAGCCACA